rnacentral:rRNA from 1 species
CAACUUUCAACAACGGAUCUCUUGGCUCUCGCAUCGAUGAAGAACGCAGCGAAAUGCGAUAAGUAAUGUGAAUUGCAGAAUUCAGUGAAUCAUCGAAUCUUUGAACGCACCUUGCGCUCCUUGGUAUUCCAUGGAGCAUGCCUGUUUGAGUGUCA